ACUACACCAAAGACAAGCAUGAACACAAUUCAAAGAACAAAGUCCACAAACACAGAGUCAGGGGGGAGACACAAGUCCACAAACACAAGUCAAAGUCCAAAAUACAAGUCAAAACACAGAACUAUGACUUUAGUAGUAGUGGUAAUAGCAGUAUUUUGAUUUAUUUGUUGUCAUUAAUAUACACAACUGACAAGGUGAAAACACUUUUGGAAUUUUUGGAAAUCUAUUUAAAGAAACACUGUGAACCGGAGCCUCCAGGGGAAGGUAUGUCAAUUUGUUCCCGCAACCCCAGUAUUCCCAAUAUGCCACUGAGAUCAUGGGUUGUCAUCCUAGAAACCCCUCUCAGAGUGAAGGGCCUCGUAUCCAACAUCUAUGAAACUGUGAUUUCCCUCAAGGAUUCUCCCUGGACUAAAAUCAACGUGAUAAGGAAGGAGAACUUGGGAGAGACAUUUCAGAUGAAAUGUGGGACAGCGCCUUGGACAAGAUAAAUGGAAGCACCUCCAGUACUUGACUCAAUUUAAUAUAAUUUAAAGUCAUUUAUGGUGUCCACAAUUCAAAAGCCAGAAUAGUGAAAAUAGUCCUCAUUUCGAUGAGGUGUCAUGGUGUCCCUGCAGACUUCACACAUAUGUUUUAGACGUAUCCUCGCCUGUCUGACUUGAGCUGUUAUUUUUCAAUCUCUGCCAGAAGCGCUGAAUAUGGAACUGAGGCUUAAUGCUGUGACAGCCAUUGUUGGUACCUAUUUUUAUGGAGAAGAAACUCAUUAGACUGGAAAUCCUAAAACCCUCCCAAAGCAUAGCUCAGGUUUAUGGACCUGCUGAUGGUACUUUAACUAUUUUUCUCAUAAUUUCAGAAAUCAGCAAUAUUCCCUCAUUUUUUAUUGACAUGAUUGCCAUCAUUACAGCAUGCAUCUCAAGCUCUUAUGACCCUGGCUGGUGCUAGUGCCAGUUUGACGUUGGUUCAACUUGCAAACCUUUUAAGAACAAUGUUUGCUUUUGCACGGGCUAGAGCCAGGUCAUUAGCCAUUAAUUUCAACAGAGUAGCUAAAAGCUGUGGAAUCCCCUGUUGACGGUUUACAGCUAUUUUUACUGCUCCACAUGCAAUAGAUUUAUGUUCCUGAAUGGAAUCUCAAACCAAGUCCUUAAAUGAUCCAGUCACAAAAUAUCUUGGUGCCAAACACACUUGAAGAGAAGAGCUAAGGGCGGCGUUUCUGUCUGUUUCCUGUUGCAAGUCGGCAGUCACAACUUCCUGAAAUUACCAGACAGAUCAAAAGGAUGUCAUCCAUCAUGGAGGAUGCACUGCUGACUUGUUCCUCCUCCAGCAAGUUUUCCCACCAUGCCAACAUCUAUUUUACCAUGUAUCAAGGCUAAGUCCUCCUGCAGAGGCCUGGGUUAGAUUCCAGCCCGAGCCCUUUGCAUGUCAUGUCUGCAUGUCAACCCCUCUCUCUCUCCUGUCUUUGCUGCCUCUCUCUAUCGCUAUCCAAUAAAACAACGCCCAAAAAAUAAUCUUAAUAAAAAAAGAAAAGUUGUAACUUAAGUCUAUGUUGACACUUUGUAUAUUAGUGGGUACAGCCAUUAAAAUGUUAAUGUGCCUAGGGUAGAACUUAGGUAAAAGUGGAGCAACAGGCUGCUGAUCUUAGAGUUUUGGUUAUCCUUCAGCUCAUUAAGUUGAACAAAGCACUAACACUAGCAGGACUGGGGUUUGAU